CCUACGGGAGGCAGCAGUGAGGAAUAUUGGUCAAUGGACGCAAGCCUGAACCAGCCACGCCGCGUGAAGGAAGACGGUACUAAGAGUUGUAAACUGCUUUUGUAGGGGAACAAACGCCGAGACGUGUCUCCGGUUGAAUGUACCCUACGAAAAAGGAUCGGCUAACUCCGUGCCAGCAGCCGCGGUAAUACGGAGGAUCCGAGCGUUAUCCGGAUUUAUUGGGUUUAAAGGGUGCGUAGGCGGGUUGAUAAGUUAGCGGUGAAAUGUCGGGGCUCAACCCCGAGACUGCCUUUGAAACUGGUUGACUAGAGAAGAGUUGCGGUAGGCGGAAUUUGUGGUGUAGCGGUGAAAUGCUUAGAGAUCAUGCAGAACACCGAUUGCGAAGGCAGCUUACCGGCCUAUAACUGACGCUGAGGCACGAAAGCGUGGGGAGCAAACAGGAUUAGAUACCCCGGUAGUC
rnacentral:rRNA from 1 species